rnacentral:rRNA from 1 species
GACGUAGGGCGCGAGCGUUGUCCGGAUUUAUUGGGCGUAAAGAGCUCGUAGGCGGCUUGUUGCGUCGACUGUGAAAACCCGCGGCUCAACCGCGUGGCUUGCAGUCGAUACGGGCAGGCUAGAAUUCGGUAGGGGAGACUGGAAUUCCUGGUGUAGCGGUGAAAUGCGCAGAUAUCGGGAAGAACACCCGUGGCGAAGGCGGCUCUCUGGGACGGUACUGACGCUGAGACGCGAAAGCGUGGGGAGCGAACAGG